GUGCCAGCCGCCGCGGUAAUACGUAKGGUGCGAGCGUUAAUCGGAAUUACUGGGCGUAAAGCGUGCGCMSGCGGUUAUGUAAGACAGAUGUGAAAUCCCCGGGCUCAACCUGGGAACUGCAUUCGUGACUGCAUGGCUAGAGUACGGUAGAGGGGGAUGGAAUUCCGCGUGUAGCAGUGAAAUGCGUAGAUAUGCGGAGGAACACCGAUGGCGAAGGCAAUCCCCUGGACCUGUACUGACGCUCAUGCACGAAAGCGUGGGGAGCAAACAGGAUUUGAUACCCUGGUAGUCCACGCCCUAAACGAUGUCAACUGGUUGUUGGGAAUUAGUUUUCUCAGUAACGAAGCUAACGCGUGAAGUUGACCGCCUGGGGAGUACGGCCGCAAGGUUGAAACUCAAAGGAAUUGACGGGGGCCCGCACAAGCGGUGGAGUAUGUGGUUUUAAUUCGAUGCAACGCGAAGAACCUUACUUGGCCUUGACAUGUCGAGAACUUUCCCAGAGAUGGAUUGGUGCCUUCGGGAAACUCRAAMACAGGUGCUGCAUGGCUGUCGUCAGCUCGUGUCGUGAGAUG
rnacentral:rRNA from 1 species